rnacentral:ncRNA from 1 species
UGGUAAACCCGCCGAAAGUCGGGGACACAAAGCCAAAUGGGUCUAAGGUCUGCUAUGGUCAGACUAUGACAGCCGGUUGC